UUGGUUUUCUUUGGUCGGAUGUGUUGUUGUUUGGUCUGAUUAAAUUUGGUUUUGUUGAUUAUGAGAGAAUCACACUUUGGGCUGCUGGGCUUCCGUGUACAAACUCAGUUUGUUGAUAAUGAGAAAAUCAUACUUUGGGCUGGGCUUUCUUUUAUGUUUAACGUUUUGAGCUUUGGUUUGCUAGGACAUCAUUCUGACAUUCUUCCAUUGUUGAAGUCGUCGUUUUGUUUGUCUCUUUGCCUUCAUCCACUGCAAACCAUUUUAAUCUCUUUGCCUUCCUCGACCUUCAACGUAUUUUUAAAUUCGAGAAUAAGUUUUGGGUUAAGUGCAAUAAACUCUGUAACGUUUCGGUGGUAUUCUUCGUCAGUUGCGGUCGUAUUCUAUAAAUAGGAGAUGGAUGAUGCUGUGACGAUCGUUCGCAAUCACUCUCAGUUCGCCAUCGAACCGUAAGCAAUGUUGUGGUCUACCUGACCUUAUGGGACGAAGCUGCGGCAACAUUUCGGGGACUCAUAAGUUCAGGCGAAAGAACACAGUUUAUAAUGGUGGUCACAACUGUGAAUCCCAAAAUCUUUGCAGCUUUGUAAAAUGUAAUCUGUACCUUAACUCCACCCUAGCAACAAAAUUUUAUUUUGCCAUGAAUCCUCCAGUUCACAGCUAGCUUAGGAGGACCAGUUGGUGAAGCUUUUCAUUGCAUCGAUUCCAAUGAAGGGAUUAAGAAAAAGGAACAUGUCUCCAUUUGAGAUCUGAACAAAUUCAUCUCCAACUCUGAUGAGCAGACCUAAGAAGUAAAAUUCAUUUGCAAGACUAGAGUUCUUGAGGUGCUCCUCAUGCACUGGCUGCAGCAGAAAGUUAGAUCAAUCAGGCACUUCUCUCCGUUGCAACCGUUAUGUUAAUGCCAACAUCACCGGUGGUAUCAAGUGAGAAUUUUUAGCUGUUUAGUAUCGUAAUCAUUGUUCAUUGGAGACGACUUUGUUCCAUUGUGCCCACUAAUAAAUCCGUUUCCCGAGGUACCGUGUUGAAUUGUCUGUUGAUGACGGGAAUGACAAUGCCACUUUUGUGUGUUUACGAUAGGGAGAUGCUUAAACUCACUAAGAGAGAUGCCGCAACUCUAACUGUCGAUGAGAUGAAUGGUGGUGGGGACGAGCAGCUCCCGCAGUGUCUACAAGCACUUGGCGGAAAAGAAUUUGUGUUCCAGAUCCGGGUUACCCCAUUCAAAUUCACCCCAAAACACCGCACUUUCACAGUUAAUGGAAUAAGUGACCACAUCGAACCAAAGACUUUCAACACCAAAGAAGCUUCGAUUGUUGGUGGAGAAAGUGGCGAAGCAUCUGCUUCCGCCAGUACGUUGGUUGAAGGUGGAGGGUAUGAUCCAAAUCCAACCGGUGGUAAGGUGAAGGAUGGUAGCCGCAAACGUCCCCGUGAGUGAAGCUACUCAGCUGUGAUCCGUCAACCCAACUCUGCUCCCGUUCUUUUUUAUUAUCAGUACCUUGAAUAACUAUGCUUUUUAGUUUCGGACUAUGACACUUUUUUAAUUUAAUAUCUACGAUGAGUUGACGUUAUAUUAAGUUUAUUCGAAGAAA